rnacentral:pre_miRNA from 1 species
AAUAGUUUUAUGCUACAUCAGUACUCUUAUCCUGAAUUUCAAGAUUUUAUCCUGAAAAAAAUCAAAUCCAAAUUAAAAUACUAAAAUUCAGGAUAAAAUCUUGAAAUUCAGGAUAAGAAUACUGAUGUGGCAUAAAACUAUU